AAAAUUUAUGUGUUAGACCAAUGUUAGGACAGCAUGGCUGUGGAGGGGUGAGUGAGUCCCUAGACAACGUAGUGAGUACAGUGCCUUCUUAUUUUCUCCCUUUUCCACCCAGGAUGGCAGAUGAACUCUACAGAGGCACCUCUGGGCUUGCACUGACUAAGGACAACAGCUAGAACAAAGAAAGAACUGGAGGCCGGGUGAGCAGGUUGCCUGGGAAACAGAACAAAGGACAGAAGAGGGACAAAGAACCUGGCUGAGCUGGGCUGUUGGAAGCAUGGAGUCUGCUGGUCUGGGGACUCGAUGGGAAAGCCCAGGGUCUGAGUUCUGGGUCUGCCCAAGAUGGACAUUGCUGAAUCUUCCUGCCUCCUGUGCUAACACAGAACUUUCGCAGGCUGGAUUCCAGACCACUAAUAAACCUUCUGUUUUACAACGCUG